rnacentral:rRNA from 1 species
UUGAACGCUGGCGGCAGGCCUAACACAUGCAAGUCGAGCGGUAGCACAGAGAGCUUGCUCUCGGGUGACGAGCGGCGGACGGGUGAGUAAUGUCUGGGAAACUGCCUGAUGGAGGGGGAUAACUACUGGAAACGGUAGCUAAUACCGCAUAAUGUCGCAAGACCAAAGUGGGGGACCUUCGGGCCUCAUGCCAUCAGAUGUGCCCAGAUGGGAUUAGCUAGUAGGUGGGGUAACGGCUCACCUAGGCGACGAUCCCUAGCUGGUCUGAGAGGAUGACCAGCCACACUGGAACUGAGACACGGUCCAGACUCCUACGGGAGGCAGCAGUGGGGAAUAUUGCACAAUGGGCGCAAGCCUGAUGCAGCCAUGCCGCGUGUGUGAAGAAGGCCUUCGGGUUGUAAAGCACUUUCAGCGGGGAGGAAGGCGUUAAGGUUAAUAACCUUGGCGAUUGACGUUACCCGCAGAAGAAGCACCGGCUAACUCCGUGCCAGCAGCCGCGGUAAUACGGAGGGUGCAAGCGUUAAUCGGAAUUACUGGGCGUAAAGCGCACGCAGGCGGUCUGUCAAGUCGGAUGUGAAAUCCCCGGGCUCAACCUGGGAACUGCAUUCGAAACUGGCAGGCUAGAGUCUUGUAGAGGGGGGUAGAAUUCCAGGUGUAGCGGUGAAAUGCGUAGAGAUCUGGAGGAAUACCGGUGGCGAAGGCGGCCCCCUGGACAAAGACUGACGCUCAGGUGCGAAAGCGUGGGGAGCAAACAGGAUUAGAUACCCUGGUAGUCCACGCCGUAAACGAUGUCGAUUUGGAGGUUGUGCCCUUGAGGCGUGGCUUCCGGAGCUAACGCGUUAAAUCGACCGCCUGGGGAGUACGGCCGCAAGGUUAAAACUCAAAUGAAUUGACGGGGGCCCGCACAAGCGGUGGAGCAUGUGGUUUAAUUCGAUGCAACGCGAAGAACCUUACCUGGUCUUGACAUCCACAGAACUUUCCAGAGAUGGAUUGGUGCCUUCGGGAACUGUGAGACAGGUGCUGCAUGGCUGUCGUCAGCUCGUGUUGUGAAAUGUUGGGUUAAGUCCCGCAACGAGCGCAACCCUUAUCCUUUGUUGCCAGCGGUUCGGCCGGGAACUCAAAGGAGACUGCCAGUGAUAAACUGGAGGAAGGUGGGGAUGACGUCAAGUCAUCAUGGCCCUUACGACCAGGGCUACACACGUGCUACAAUGGCAUAUACAAAGAGAAGCGACCUCGCGAGAGCAAGCGGACCUCAUAAAGUAUGUCGUAGUCCGGAUUGGAGUCUGCAACUCGACUCCAUGAGGUCGGAAUCGCUAGUAAUCGUAGAUCAGAAUGCUACGGUGAAUACGUUCCCGGGCCUUGUACACACCGCCCGUCACACCAUGGGAGUGGGUUGCAAAAGAAGUAGGUAGCUUAACCUUCGGGAGGGCGCUUACCACUUUGUGAUUCAUGACUGGGGUG